ACUACGGGGGGCAGCAGUGAGGAAUAUUGGUCAAUGGGCGCAAGCCUGAACGAGCAAUGCCGCGUGAACGAGGAAGGUCUUCGGAUCGUAAAGUUCUGUUGAAGGGGAAACGAGCGGAGAGAGGAAAUGAACUCCGAUUGAUAUUACCCUUCGAGGAAGUCACGGCUAACUACGUGCCAGCAGCCGCGGUAAUACGUAGGUGGCGAGCGUUAUCCGGAAUGAUUGGGCGUAAAGGGUGCGUAGGCGGCCUGCUAAGUCUGGAGUGAAAGUAACCGGAUCAACCGGUACGGGCUCUGGAAACUGGGGGGUUAGAGAGCAGGAGAGGGCGGUGGAACUCCAUGUGUAGCGGUAAAAUGCGUAGAUAUAUGGAAGAACACCAGUGGCGAAGGCGGCCGCCUGGCCUGUUGACUGACGCUGAGGCACGAAAGCGUGGGGAGCAAAUAGGAUUAGAUACCCUAGUAGUC
rnacentral:rRNA from 1 species